CCUACGGGGGGCAGCAGUGGGGAAUAUUGCACAAUGGGGGCAACCCUGAUGCAGCGAAGCCGCGUGAGGGAAGACGCGCCUCGGCGCGGAAAGCUCUGUCAGCAGGGACGAUAAUGACGGUACCUGAAGAAGAAGCCCCGUAUAAAGACGUGCCAGCUGCCGCGGCUAUAUGGAGGCGGCAAGAGGUAUCCGGAUUAUUUGGGGGUUAAGGGAGCGUAGACGGGGGGGCAAGUCAGGAGUGAAAGGCUGGGGCCCAACCGCCGGACCGGUCUUGAAACUGCCCGGCUGGAGUUCGGGAGAGGUAAGCGGAAUUCGUGGUGUAGCGGUGAAAUGCUUAGAUAUCACGAAGAACACCAGCGGCGAAGGCAGCAUACUGGACCGCGACUGACGUUGAGGCUCGAAAGCGUGGGUAGCAAACAGGAUUAGAUACCCUUGUAGUC
rnacentral:rRNA from 1 species